GUCUAUGGCCAUGCCUCCCUGAACAAGCCUGAUCCUGUCUGAUCUCGGAAACUAAGCAGGGUCAGGCCUGGUUAGUACUUGGAUGGGAGACCACCUAGGAAGACCUGCUGCAGUAGGCA
rnacentral:rRNA from 1 species